UAUCGCCCGAGAAGAGAGGGUUUCACAAAUGUUGGGCAACAAACCUUUCUUCGUCCUUCUUGACUUCCUUGACAAGCUGCAAGGCGGAUAAAGUGGGCACACUCUUUUUUACAUUAAGACUUGGAAUCAUAACCGAAAGCGCUACGGCUAGGGCGAAUGGUUCUAGAAAAGGAACCCCAAGCCACAUUCAUUCGAUCUUUAAACCAACUGAAGGACUCGAUGACUGGGUUACUUCGGAACAUACUCUAGGAAAAAGGCUAAUAGCUACCUCUCCACCUCCGUUUGAGGAAGGAGGAAUCAGCAAAGAAAAGAAAAAGGAGUUGCGCCCGACCGCAGCAUUAUGGUAUGGCUCUGGCAUGGAACAACCUCCCUUACUCCAUAGGACACGAUAAGGUUGAGCUUACAGAGCCCGACCAUCUUCUCCCGAUUUACCUGGUGGCCGAAAAAUGCAUGAUCCCACCUGUCUGAUUGUUAUGAGAUUUUCGUGACUUUCUUUUAUUU
rnacentral:lncRNA from 1 species